rnacentral:rRNA from 1 species
UACGUAGGGUGCGAGCGUUAAUCGGAAUUACUGGGCGUAAAGCGUGCGCAGGCGGUGAUGUAAGACAGGUGUGAAAUCCCCGGGCUUAACCUGGGAACUGCAUUUGUGACUGCAUCGCUGGAGUGCGGCAGAGGGGGAUGGAAUUCCGCGUGUAGCAGUGAAAUGCGUAGAUAUGCGGAGGGACACCGAUGGCGAAGGCAAUCCCCUGGGCCUGCACUGACGCUCAUGCACGAAAGCGUGGGGAGCAAACAGG